rnacentral:rRNA from 1 species
AGACCCGAAACCCGGUGAUCUAGCCAUGGGCAGGUUGAAGGUUGGGUAACACUAACUGGAGGACCGAACCGACUAAUGUUGAAAAAUUAGCGGAUGACCUGUGGCUGGGGGUGAAAGGCCAAUCAAACCGGGAGAUAGCUGGUUCUCCCCGAAAGCUAUUUAGGUAGCGCCUCGUGAAUUCAUCUCCGGGGGUAGAGCACUGUUUCGGCUAGGGGGCCAUCCCGGCUUACCAACCCGAUGCAAACUGCGAAUACCGGAGAAUGUUAUCACGGGAGACACACGGCGGGUGCUAACGUCCGUCGUGAAGAGGGAAACAACCCAGACCGCCAGCUAAGGUCCCAAAGUCAUGGUUAAGUGGGAAACGAUGUGGGAAGGCCCAGACAGCCAGGAUGUUGGCUUAGAAGCAGCCAUCAUUUAAAGAAAGCGUAAUAGCUCACUGGUCGAGUCGGCCUGCGCGGAAGAUGUAACGGGGCUAAACCAUGCACCGAAGCUGCGGCAGCGACACUCAGGUGUUGUUGGGUAGGGGAGCGUUCUGUAAGCCUGUGAAGGUGUGUCGUGAGGCAUGCUGGAGGUAUCAGAAGUGCGAAUGCUGACAU